UACGUAGGCAGCGAGCGUUGUUCGGAGUUACUGGGCGUAAAGGGUGUGUAGGCGGCUUGGUAGGUCUGCUGUGAAAACUCGGGGCUCAACCCCGAGACGUCGGUGGAAACCACCUUGCUAGAGUCCGGAAGAGGAGAGUGGAAUUCCUGGUGUAGAGGUGAAAUUCGUAGAUAUUCGGAAGAACACCAGUGGCGAAGGCGGCUCACUGGUCCGGUACUGACGCUGAGGUGCGAAAGCGUGGGGAGCGAACAGG
rnacentral:rRNA from 1 species